GAUCAUGGCUCAGGACGAACGCUGGCGGCGUGCUUAACACAUGCAAGUUGAACGGGACGGAUAUUGAAGCGACUUUCGGAGUGGUGGAUAUAUUGUUUAGUAGCGGACGGGUGAGUAAUGCAUGAGAACCUGCCCUUCAGAGGGGGACAACAGUUGGAAACGGCUGCUAAUACCCCCAUAUGCCGAGAGGUGAAAGGAGCGAUCCGCUGAAGGAGAGGCUCAUGUCCUAUCAGCUAGUUGGUGAGGUAAGUGCUCACCAAGGCGAUGACGGGUAGCCGGCCUGAGAGGGCGACCGGCCACACUGGAACUGAGAUACGGUCCAGACUCCUACGGGAGGCAGCAGUGGGGAAUAUUGGGCAAUGGGCGGAAAGCCUGACCCAGCGACGCCGCGUGAGGGAAGAAGGCCUUUGGGUCGUAAACCUCUGUUGUAUGGGAAGAAGGAAGUGACGGUACCAUACGAGGAAGUCCCGGCUAACUACGUGCCAGCCGCUGC
rnacentral:rRNA from 1 species